ensembl:lncRNA
CUGCAGCAUCACACAGGCCAACACUGUGUCCCGCUGGCACCUUCUCCGGCCUCGCAGAGCAGACCAUGCCCUCUGCAUGCCAGACCUGUCCACGAAGCUUCUACUGCAAGGAGGCUGGUCUACAGGCCCCCAGUGGGCCUUGCCCAGCAGGAGCUCCUGUCCCCACUCAAUGCCCACCUGGUACCUGGUCUGAGGAAGGGAACAAAACCCCAGAAGGAUGUCAAGAUUGCUCUGGAGGGAGACUCUGCUCUAGCGGCCACCUGACAAUCUGGCCAGCACCUUGCCACCUAGGGUAGGCAAACACACCCACAUAGAUUUGAGGGAACAGUGUCCACAAAGUAAGGAGGUAGUUCCAUUCCAGGAUUGAUUCAGCCAGAGAGCAAGGGGGAGGAAAUCCCUACAGUCAGGAAGGAGCCACCCCCACUGGCCUGUGAAGCCUGUGGGCCACUUGCAGACAUGCAGAGGUUAAGUCAUGCCAGAAUUCAAGAAGCAACAGCCUAGGAAGGGUCCCAGGCCCAUGCUAAAUGUCCAUGCACUGCCUGUGGCUGCAUGCUCCUCAGCAAUUGUCCUUGGCUGAGGCCCUUUUGCUUGGCUCACAUUUUUCCAGUGUUUCCUGCACUGGAGGAACUGCCCCUGCCACCCCCAUGGAGGGCCUCUCUGGGAGAUCCUGCCCCCCUGGGCACGUCUGUCCUCUGGGAAUGGUUGACCCCACUUCGUGUCCUCCUGGCUCCUACACCCCUGGCACCCACACAACAAAAUGUUACAUCUGUCCCAGUGGCCACUACUGUGUUCCAGGGCUGAGGCCUCAGCUGUGUCCAAGAGGUGAGUGUCCUGCCAAUAGCCCAGCUGACAACCUUUCUCCACUUCCCUCAAAGGCCUGGCCUAUACAUUCUAAUAACAAGGUGGUAACUCCGGGAUUUACAGAGCAUUUCUAUUUCCUGGGCAGGAGCCCUGCAGCAGAGAUGCCGGGCCUCCAUGCUGGACACCAGCCCAGCGCCCAGAGCCUGCCCUCUGUCAGCUUCCUCCCCAUCCCCUGCCUCCUCAGUCCCUAAUCUUGGCCCAUCUCCCUUCCCAGGUUUCUACUGCCCUGAAGGGACAGGGCUUGACUGGCAGCCCUGCCCUCCAGGCACCUAUGGCCCUGUGCAGGGACUGAGCAGCCUGCCAGAAUGUCAAGCCUGUGAUAGGGGCAGGUUCUGCCCAAGUGCCAAUGCUACAGAGGCUGGUGGACAGUGCUGGGAAGGCUUCUUCUGCUCCAGAGGGUCCACCCGGCCCAACCCAGAGGCCGACACGGAAGAAGAGGCUGGCCCAUGUCCUCAGGGACACUACUGCCCCAGGGGUUCAGCCAUACCCCAGCCCUGCCCACCUGGCACCUUCAGCACACGGAUCAAGCUCAGCUCAGAGGUAGGGAAACUCCAGCCUGGGAGGAGGCUCGGUAUGGGAAGAGCACUGUUUGGAUCUAGCCAAACCUUGAGGUCAAGGUUGUCAUGGGGACUGGAGAACAGGGCACCUGGCUGUCUCCUCCAUCCUUCAGGUCUGUACGUGAAAGUCGUUUUCCCAGGGAGAUCUUCCCUGGCCCUCCUUACCACAUAUCUUACUCUACCAUAG